GGGGUUGUGACUCAGUGGUAGAGCGCUUGCCUAGCAUGUAUGAGGCCCUGGGUUCGAUCCUCAGCACCACA
rnacentral:tRNA from 1 species